GACGAACGCUGGCGGCGUGCUUAACACAUGCAAGUCGAACGGAAAGGCCCAGCUUGCUGGGUACUCGAGUGGCGAACGGGUGAGUAACACGUGGGUGAUCUGCCCUGGACUCUGGGAUAAGCCUGGGAAACUGGGUCUAAUACCGGAUAGGACCACUGAUUGCAUGGUUGGUGGUGGAAAGCUUUUGCGGUUUAGGAUGGGCCCGCGGCCUAUCAGCUUGUUGGUGGGGUAAUGGCCUACCAAGGCGACGACGGGUAGCCGACCUGAGAGGGUGAUCGGCCACACUGGGACUGAGACACGGCCCAGACUCCUACGGGAGGCAGCAGUGGGGAAUAUUGCACAAUGGGCGCAAGCCUGAUGCAGCGACGCCGCGUGAGGGAUGACGGCCUUCGGGUUGUAAACCUCUUUCGCUAGGGACGAAGCGUAAGUGACGGUACCUGGAGAAGAAGCACCGGCCAACUACGUGCCAGCAGCCGCGGUAAUACGUAGGGUGCGAGCGUUGUCCGGAAUUACUGGGCGUAAAGAGCUCGUAGGCGGUUUGUCGCGUCGUCUGUGAAAUUCUGCAACUCAAUUGCAGGCGUGCAGGCGAUACGGGCAGACUUGAGUACUACAGGGGAGACUGGAAUUCCUGGUGUAGCGGUGAAAUGCGCAGAUAUCAGGAGGAACACCGGUGGCGAAGGCGGGUCUCUGGGUAGUAACUGACGCUGAGGAGCGAAAGCGUGGGGAGCGAACA
rnacentral:rRNA from 1 species